rnacentral:rRNA from 1 species
GACAGAGGGUGCUAGCGUUAUUCGGAAUUACUGGGCGUAAAGGGCGCGUAGGCGGCUAUUUAAGUAAAUUGUUAAAGACCGGAGCUUAACUCCGGCAGUGCGGUUUAUACUAGAUGGCUUGAGUAUGGGAGAGGAAGAUGGAAUUCCUAGUGUAGAGGUAAAAUUCGUAGAUACUAGGAGGAACCCCGGUGGCGAAGGCGAUCUUCUGGAACAUAACUGACGCUGAGGCGCGAAAGCGUGGGGAUCAAACAGG